AUGUCACUCUAUCACCAUUUUUUCACACGAACACACUUAUUUUUGAUACAGAACAUAUCAUUUAGAGCACGCAAACACUUACCAGGAUUUUUGGCUCAUACAAAACAGGUUAUACACACAGGCGGUGUCAGGAAAAUAGGAACAUACUCUUAUUCUAGGAACAAACUAAUUCUUAUUCACAGACGGACCAGCCGCAGUUUUAGAGGAGAAAAGGUUAAGCAUCUGGAAAAGAAUUGA